rnacentral:rRNA from 1 species
CAGUCGCCGCGGUAAUACGUAGGUCCCGAGCGUUGUCCGGAUUUAUUGGGCGUAAAGCGAGCGCAGGCGGUUAGAUAAGUCUGAAGUUAAAGGCUGUGGCUUAACCAUAGUACGCUUUGGAAACUGUUUAACUUGAGUGCAAGAGGGGAGAGUGGAAUUCCAUGCGUAGCGGUGAAAUGCGUAGAUAUAUGGAGGAACACCGGUGGCGAAAGCGGCUCUCUGGCUUGUAACUGACGCUGAGGCUCGAAAGCGUGGGGAGCAAACAGGAUUAGAUACCCGAGUAGUCCCUGUCUCUUAUACA